ACGAACCGUACGAACGUUAUUCGGAAUUACUGGGCUUAAAGAGUUCGUAGGCGGCUUAGUAAGUCGGGUGUGAAAUCCCUCGGCUCAACCGGGGAACUGCGCCCGAUACUGCUAAGCUUGAGGGAGACAGGGGUGAGCGGAACUGAUGGUGGAGCGGUGAAAUGCGUUGAUAUCAUCAGGAACACCGGUGGCGAAAGCGGCUCACUGGGUCUCCUCUGACGCUGAGGAACGAAAGCUAGGGGAGCGAACGGG
rnacentral:rRNA from 1 species